UGUUUCUGUGUGAUGACUACAGGGAAGUUAUCUCACAGAGUUCAGGCCGGUGAGAAAUACUAUUUAGCUUUACAAUUAUUGGGGCAAAACUUCAGUCACCAUUGUUAUAAGGAAACCUCAGAUAUUUAAUAAGAAUUCACUGUGUGCUGCCCAUUGUACUACGUGCUGUGGAGAACAAGAAGAUAACCCCAAACUCUUUUCUCAGAGAGUUUGUAGCCUAGUUUGGGAUAGAUAAGAUCCACAUAUUUAGUCAUAUAAGACUACAGGAGAGUAGAAUUGAUGCACCAGAUGGUGUCGAAUGAAAGUGGUACUUUGUAACAGACUAUAAGUGCUGUAAAUUCUAAAGGACAGGUUACUUUUGCCUGGAGUGGUCAAGAAAGAUUUUAUUUAAAAUAAGGAUUUGACGGGCAGACUUAGCAGUCAAAAGGGAGAAAGCGGGUAAAACAAAUGUAAGCCAUCAUAAGAGUGCAUGUGGUUUGGAAGCAUCAGGGAAAAGACUAGCCAACCUGAAGUAAAAGGUUCGUGCAAAUUGGGCAAUCAAUAGCAUUAAGUUGGAAACAGCUUGGGGACAGACACAUAAGAGGGCCAGAGUGUGAAUAAUUUCAUCUAAUACUUUAUAGCACUUGGACAUUUACAGAGCACUUUUCUCAAUUCCUAAAAUACCUUGGUAAAUCAAAAGCAUUCUCCAUUUUAAAAAUGAGAAUACUCUUGCCUAUGGAGAUGGCAACAUAGCUAUAAUCCCACACAAAGAAAAAGACCAGUAACCUAAGUGCAGGUCUUUUGACUUCUAGUCCUGGCCAUUACUCUAGUGAUCCUCCAACUUUGAUGAACAUCAAAAUCAUGUUUGGAGCUUGUUUAACAUCCCUGAAUCCCACUCACAUUCUGCUUCAUUAGGCCUAGGAUGGGAGUUGAGAAUCUUCAUUUUUAUAGCUCCACAGUUACUUAAUAUACUUUAAAAUUUGAGAAGCGUUGAGUUGAAUGACAGCUGACUUCAUGGCUGUCUGCGAAGUGGGGAAGCCUGAACACAGUCCUAUAAACUAAAGGCCACUGCAGACUUUUAGCACAAGGAGAUCCUUACAGGGAACAUGUGCCAUCAGCUCUUUGGAGUGAACAAGGAAUUAGACCCCCAUCAUGCCAAAAAACUAGGAUUUUUAGGUGGUCUUUCCAUCCCUUCAGAUUUAAGUAUUCAAAGAAAGAGAGACAGACCUACAUUCCAAGGGUCUUCUGAGUGCAAGGCCUUGUGUUGUUUGUUUAUUUAGGGGAGGGCCUGGUGCUCUUCUCUGUUUUAUGCUUUACCUUCUUUUAUUUCUCAGAUCUCAUGUUAGCACUAUGUUCUGAAUUCCCUAAUAAUGGCUCUUGAGAACUGAUUUACAUUUUGUUGGUUUGUUUACUUCUUGAGCACAUAAAAGGACCCCAAAUUAGAGAUACUAUCCCUUGGGCUUCUGAAAAAUGAAUCAACCAAAACUGGUUGACUCUAACCUUGCCUUGCUGAGUAAAAAUUCUGCUUUGGAUGAGAACCUGUCUUGAUUAUUUUAGUGGACAACAGAUAAGCCACAUGGAAGUACACAUGGCUCCUGAUCUGUCUUUUUAUUUACAGAAAUCAUUCUUAAUCUCUACUGAGAUGGCCUGUUAUUUCCUUCCUUUUCUACCCUGCCACAGCAAACUCCACAGUUUCUGGGACUAACUUCCUACUACACCCCAACACAACUCCAGUCCUCUCUUCUCUUCACACUUCUAGCUGGUUAGUGGGUUUGAAGUGGUGAGACAGUGACAAAAGGGGAAGGGGAAAAAUAAAAGAAGGGUAAUCUGCAUUCUUCCUUAGUAAGUCCCACUCCUAAUUACCUUUCUACACAGCCCUGUGUCUUUGUCCCAUCUUCUCUUCACUCCUGUAAUAUACUCCCCAGCCCCAUUUUCUUAGUGCCCCUGUCUCUUGCCUCUCUAGCCAUAAACCCUGUAUAGAAUUUCAUCCCUGGGUUGGAACUAGAAGCGUCUCUGGUCCUAUAGGAAUAUUAUGUUUCUAGCUAAGUUGUAAAUAUGAACACAUAUUCCCAUAGAAGUCAUAAUGGUAUAAGUAUUAUAAUUCAGGUAUAUUAGGUGUCAAAUUGGCUUCUGGGAUUGGAACUUACAUGACUUUCUGUGUGGAAAAACCUUCUUGAGUUCACAAGAGAGAAAGGCAAAUGAACAGUUGAAAAACAACUUACUCAUAAGUUGAGGACUGCUUAGUUAGGCUUUUUUCAUAACCCCAGCAUUGGAGUUGCACACAUGAGGCACUGAGGCAACUGGGAUUGGAAACCUAGUUUUUUUCCUCCAGGAAACAAGGAACCCAGAGUGAGUCUGGGAGCUCUGUAGCUCUAAGUAUGUGAGGCCUGUGCUCUACCUAAGUUUACCCUGCCUCCCAUUUCUCACAUAAUGAGAAUGCAAACUUGUAACCAAACCAAGGUUCAGCUGCUUGCGGCUCCAAAGCCAAAACUCGGGAGAGAAGAAAAUUGGUGCGAGGAAAAGCAGAUUUAUUCGGAGAGCCAGCAAACUGAGACGAUGGUAGACUACUGUCCUAAAGUACCAUCUUAAGUCAGUACAAAUGUUGGGCUCGGCUCUUUUUAUGUUAAGGGCAAAGGGAAGAGGACAGAGUUGGGAUGAAGAGGUGACCUAUGACCACAGACAUCUGGGCGCCAGCAAGAGUCCAAGGAGGUUGGGAACUUCUUUGUCAUUGGUUGGGUCACAAUGCUCCUGCAAAUCUUCAACAAAACAUAAUUGUUAUACAUACUUCUUUAAUCCCAGAGUUAGUUUUUAAAACUACAUGAUUGCUGUUUUUGCAUAUUAUCUCUGCUCUAAAAUUAGCCUACAUGGAGGAAUAGGUAAAGGGUCCUUAAACAAAAAUGGAGUUAGUUAUGGUAGUUCUUUUGCUGUUUCACUGUUAGAAACUCUUCUCAGUGGAGGGGACUUUACUUAGUGAUGAGAACCUGUGUGAGAAUGUUCUCCUUACCAAACAUGCUAUGCAUACUCCUUAUCUAAUCUGAUUUUAUAGACUUGUUAUCCAAACUGAAAUUACUGUUCAUAGUAACUUCAGAGCCUCUCUUUUAAUCUGACUGCUCGCUGGAAUGCAAUCGUUGUUUUAAACUUGCCUUCUACUCCUCUGAGUGCCUUUACUUGGGGUCUUUCCAGUUCAUUUUCUGCUUAAUAUGUUCUGUCAUUGCGCACAUUCCUCCAUUUGCCUUUCUGCACACUACUUAAUCUUUCUUAUAUACCUAAUAUUAUAAAGGGACCAUAAACAAAGACUCAGAACAAUGGAAUAUGCCUAUUAUAGGAGGGUACAGUUCAUACUUGUUUAAAAAUAAAUGUGGAGGCUGGGUGCAGUGGCUCACACUUAUAAUCCCAGCACUUUGGGAGGCCGAGGUGGGCGGAUCACGAGGUCAGGAGGUUGAGACCAUCUUGACAAUGUGGUGAAACCCCAUCUCCACUAAAAAUACAAAAAUUAACCAGGCGUGGUGGCACAUGCCUGUAAUCCCAGCUACUCGAGAGGCUGAGGCAGGAGAAUCGCUUGAAUCCGGGAGGUGGAGGUUGCAGUGAGCUGAGAUGGCACCACUGCUCUCCCGCCUGGUGACAGAGCAAGACUCCAUCUCAACAAAAAUUAAAAUAAAAAUAAAAAUACACGUGGGGGUUUUGUUCUGGUUAUUUCUCAUGCUUAAAUACAGUUGUAGUACCAAAAAAAGGUGGAGUGACAUGGAAUUUCCAGGUAGGCAUCAAAGAGGAUUAAACUAGCUUUCCAGGAUAAAGAGGAAAUAUAGUAGAAUAAGGCUACUAAUUGGAGCUAAAUUGGCAAUAUAGGCAAAUUGAAGGCCCUGAGGGGCAAAUGGAGGAUGUGACAUGUUAGAUAUGGAAUAGGAGUGCUACAUUAGGGAAUGCAGUGAAGAGAGAAUGCUUUGUGAUGAAGUCAGGAGUACAUUUUGUGGAUAACAUAUAGAUGUGGUGUGACAGUGACAAGAUCCUAGGAAACCAGAAACCUCUGAAGCAUUUUAUGUAUGUGGAUUUUGAAAUAACAAUAACGGGGUGGGAUGGAAACGAAGAAUAUAAAAGCGAAGCAGGUCCAAGGUAGAAAUAACGGUCAUCAAUUGUAGUAACAAUGGCCAGAUAGAAGUAUCUGUUGUAAAACUUGAAUGAAUCAUAAAGCUUGCAAAUAAUAUUAAGAAUAAGAAUAAGAUUGACUGGCUUGUCUUUUCUAAUUGAUUCAAGGUAAACAAGACAUUAAGUGUUUAAGGCAAAAAGCAUGGAGAGGUUGGGGAAGAGCCAAGUUUCUAAAGUAAUGAAAAGUGAGGUGAGUUUCAACACGGGCUAUGAAUGAAAACGUAACCUGACAAUCAAACUGAUUCCAGAGAGUGCAGUGGGAAGUGACUGCAGAGGAAAAAAGAAUGGGGCCCUCCUUCCAAAAAUAAAUUGUAUUAAGAGGUUGCCAGAGUUUGAGGUACGAGAUGAAGCUAAUGAGGAAAGACAGUGGGAUUGAG
rnacentral:lncRNA from 10 species